rnacentral:rRNA from 1 species
UACGGAGGGGGCUAGCGUUGUUCGGAAUUACUGGGCGUAAAGCGCGCGUAGGCGGACCUGCAAGUCGGGGGGUGAAAGCCCGAGGCUUCAACCUCGGGAACUGCCUUCGAUACUGCGGGUCUCGAGUCCGGGAGAGGUGAGUGGAAUUCCUAGUGUAGAGGUGAAAUUCGUAGAUAUUGGGAAGAACACCGGUGGCGAAGGCGGCUCACUGGCUCAUUACUGAGCUCAGGCGCGAUAGCGUGGGGAUCAAACAGG